rnacentral:lncRNA from 1 species
UCGUCUCUACGCCGGAUACUGAGGAGUAUAUUGCUGCAAAGGUGCAAUACUGCUUUCUCCGAUCUACUACUUCAUGUCAUACCACAUGGCGGUCAUAGAUAAAAUCUCCAUAACAUGUACCUAGUGGGCUUUGCAUAAGCACAUUUCAUAAAUGCCCGGGACUGGAGCUGACGAGUCUCCAUAAUCUGGGGAGUAAGCACUAUCAUCCCCUAUUUAGCCAUCUAGCGACAUUGCAUUUAAAAGUUCACGUCUUCUUUGUGCGCAUUUGUUUGACGCCAACUAUUUUAAGAGCUAUGCUUUGGGCCGGCUAAUGAAGCUGACGUCUACUUGGGGAAAUCGUAGUUUGUUUAUUUAUGUGUAAAAAACCAAAUGAUGUGCACUAGAUUCGUCAUGUUGAGCACAGGUGGAAAUAUUCAAGCCCAUUCAACAAUUGUGGAAUCCACUGGUUCUACGGUCUUCACAAGCAACGCCCAUGGCCCAUGUAUCUCUACACUGUGAUACUGCCGUGGUCACUCUUAAGAACGUCCGUAGCACCGUUUUCUAAACUGGAAGUGAUCACAGGACUUUGCUGCCAACGAAGAUCAAAGGUGUCUCCGGCGAUUUCCUUCUAGCAACUAUGAAUUAAGGCCUCAAUAUCCGGUCUAGCUAAUGGGCAGUUUGACCAAGGAAUUGUUUGAUUUAUAAAUGAG